ACCUGCCCAAUGAGGAUUUAAAUGGCCGCGGUAUUUUGACCGUGCAAAGGUAGCAUAAUCAUUAGUUUUUUAAUUGAAAGCUGGUAUGAAAGGUUGGAUGAGAAAAUAGCUGUCUCUGCUUUAACUAUUUAGAAUUUUAUUUUUAAGUAAAAAAGCUUAAAUUUUAGUAGAAGACGAGAAGACCCUAUAGAGUUUUAUUUAUUUUUUGUUUAAAAUUUUAAGUAUUGAAAAUUUUUAUGUUUAAAAUAAAUUUAAUUGGGGUGAUUGAAAAAUUUAUUAAACUUUUUUUUUAUAUAAUCAUUAAUUUAUGAGUUUUUGAUCCUUUUAUAAAGAUUAUAAGAUUAAAUUACCUUAGGGAUAACAGCGUAAUUUUUUUAAAGAGUUCAAAUCGAAAAAAAAGAUUGCGACCUCGAUGUUGGAUUAAAAUAAAAUUUUGGUGUAGAAGCUAAGAUAUUUAGGUCUGUUCGACCUUUAAAAUUUUACAUGAUCUGAGUUUAAACCGGUGUGAGCCAGGUUGGUUUCUAUCUCUACUUUGUUAUAAUAUUUUAGUACGAAAGGACCAAGUAUUAGUUUGAUAAAUUUAUUUUAGAAUAAUAUU
rnacentral:rRNA from 1 species